UACGUAGGGUGCGAGCGUUAAUCGGAAUUACUGGGCGUAAAGCGUGCGCAGGCGGUUUCGUAAGACAGGUGUGAAAUCCCCGGGCUCAACCUGGGAACUGCGCUUGUGACUGCGAAGCUGGAGUGUGGCAGAGGGAGGUGGGAUUCCACGUGUAGCAGUGAAAUGCGUAGAGAUGUGGAGGAACACCGAUGGCGAAGGCAGCCUCCUGGGCCAACACUGACGCUCAUGCACGAAAGCGUGGGGAGCAAACAGG
rnacentral:rRNA from 1 species